GUCAACCUGAAGAUAGAGCACACCUCAUCAGCUAUCUGCGCAGAAAGUUUUCAGGCUCUGAAUGAGCCCUCUUCAUCGAAGAAGCUGUGGACUUCAAAGGCAGUCCAUCCAGGUCUUUGAUAUUUGUCGAAUUGAAUUUUGGAAACUGCAGGGAACCUCAUUUCCAGUUCAAGCUCUGGGAUACCUUAGAAAGUCUUCCCCGCCAAGAAAAUUGUCAUGUGCCAUUAAUGAUCUACAUUUGAAGUUGAUCUUUGUUUCAAUACCAUUGGCCUACUUCUUUGGACCGUGAUCUUUGACCAAUUUCAUUUUGGGGAAUUUCAGGGUGUUUUUUUUUUAUUGCUGAAUGAGGCGUAACAAAAUCUAGCACUCAUGAUUUCCAUGAAAAAUUCAUUCACUAAACAAAAUUGGCGGAGUGGUGGCACAGUGGUUAAGA